UACGAAGGGGGCGAGCGUUGUUCGGAAUUACUGGGCGUAAAGGGCGCGUAGGCGGCCGAUCAAGUCAGAUGUGAAAGUCCUGGGCUCAACCCUGGGAAUGCCGGUGGAUACUGUCGGGCUAGAGUCCGGAAGGGGCGAGUGGAAUUCCUGGUGUAGCGGUGGAAUGCGCAGAAUAUCAGGAGGAACACCAAUAGCGAAGGCAGCUCGCUGGGACGUUACUGACACUGGAGGCGCGAAAGCGUGGGGAGCGAACAGG
rnacentral:rRNA from 1 species